AUGGUUUGUAAGAAAAUGUUUUGUAAAACAUUUAUGAGUUUAGACAAACAUUAAAGCCAAAAUAAAUGCUUCACCAAUAACUUUCACCCAUCAAAAUUAAACCAAAACUUUAUGAAAAACAUAAAACUUUUGAAUCAAAACUUCAAAACCUUUUUGUUCUUGGCAAGAACUUCAAGAACAUUUGAAGAACACCAUGAAAACUCAUAAUAGCUCCAUGAAUGUUUUCAUUCACCAAAACUCAAUUUUUCACCACUCA
rnacentral:lncRNA from 1 species